AGUGAACGCUGGCGGUAGGCCUAACACAUGCAAGUCGAACGGCAGCACAGUAAGAGCUUGCUCUUACGGGUGGCGAGUGGCGGACGGGUGAGGAAUACAUCGGAAUCUACUUUUUCGUGGGGGAUAACGUAGGGAAACUUACUCUAAUACCGCAUACGACCUACUGGUGAAAGCAGGGGAUCUUCGGACCUUUCGCGAUUGAAUGAGCCGAUGUCGGAUUAGCUAGUUGGCGGGGUAAAGGCCCACCAAGGCGACGAUCCGUAGCUGGUCUGAGAGGAUGAUCAGCCACACUGGAACUGAGAAACGGUACAGACUCCUACGGGAGGCAGCAGUGGGGAAUAUUGGACAAUGGGCGCAAGCCUGAUACAGCCAUACCGCGUGGGUGAAGAAGGCCUUCGGGUUGUAAAGCCAUUUUGUUGGGAAAGAAAAGCAGCAGGUUAAUACCCCGCUGUUAUGACGGUACCCAAAGAAUAAGCACCGGCUAACUUCGUG
rnacentral:rRNA from 1 species